AUGUACUUUUUCUUCUAUACUAUUUCUGAGAAAUGUAUUAUUUUAACCUUUGGAACAUUUAUUUUUGGACAGGUGACAAUAGUGUCCCAUGCUCCUGAAUCAUGGCAGCCCUUCCUUCACUGUGCACUUAUGAAUCUACUACUCAGAACUGGAUCCCAGGAUUUUGACAUCUCAUAAGAAGAUCAUGCUGGAGAAAACCAGAAUAUUUUACCCCACAAUAUGAGUAAACAAACCGCCUCAAGGUGUCUCUGACUAUGACCUCCACCUUUGUCUCUCAAUCCUUUGUCUCUCUCCCAAAGCACAUGAUAAGGCUGCUCUCUGAAGUUCCCUUAUCUACUCAGAAAUUGGACCCCCCCCAAAGUGGAACACUGCUUUCCAUCCCCUCCCUGAAAUCUCAUUAUCUACCAAGGAGAGAAGACUGAGCAAUGCAAUUACACCUGGACAGACUUAUUCCCAAGAUGAUGCUUGUUUCUGGAGCACAUACAAAUUCCAAAGAGAAUCAAUUCCAAGUUAACUUCUGUCUUCCAAGUCCAUUCUGUUUUCCUAAUAACCAUUAAUUGCCCCUUAAAAAAACCUGUCUACAUUCCCCAUCUCUCCCCUUCCCUAUGAAGAAGGGUAUAUAAAUUUCUGUACCCCAUUGGGUUAUUGGGCAAUAAUUCCCCUGUGAUUCUCCCAUCCUAUGUACAUUAAAAUAAUGUUUGCUUAUUUUAUUCACGGUGAAGCUGCCUUUUGUAGUUGAAUUUUUAGUGAAAUUUCAGGGGGUAAAGGGGAAGCUUUCCCUUGUCCCCUACAAUGCCUGUCCCUGUGGAUUCAGGAAAGGAUGAGAGACACAUGGAGCAGAGCUGAACCAGCCCACCCUAGCUAGAAUAGCCUGUGCCAAGUCACCCAGCAGAGUUGCAUGCCAUCUAAGUGUUUAACAUCUCCUACUGCGGUGUACAGUUGCUUUGCAGUUUUAGUGUUAAAAAGCUAGCUAAUACUAACAGUUUUAUUUUGUUGAUAUAUUAAAAUUAAUUUUAGUUUUUAAAGAUACCUUCUACUUUUUCAAAUCACUGCCUUUGUCCUUAAUACCCAAUAUUAUCUUCUCAUUUUCCCAGGAUAUAACAUAUAUGUUGGGCAAAUUUCAUAACUGUUUUCUUCAGUCAUGUACUGAAAAACAAAUAGCAAAAUCAAGUGGUACCGCCAUAAUGACAGUCAUAUAGACUAACAGAAUAAAAUAGAGAGCCCAGAAAUAAACUCCCACAUAUACCAACAAAUAAUAUUUUAGUAAGGGCACCAAGACCACUUACUGGGAAAAGGACAAUCUUUUCAACAAACAGUGUUGGGAAACUGGAUAUCCAAAUGCAAAAGAAUGAAAUUCAACUCUUACCUUAUACCAUUGGCAAAAAUUAACUCAAAGUCGAUCGCAGACCUAAACAUUAACAGCUAAAACAAUAGAAUUCUUAGAAGAAAACAUGGUAAAAGAUUUAUGAUGCUGGACUUUGCAACGACUCUUUACAUAUGACACCAAAAGCACAGACGACAAAAGACAAAAUAAAUAAAUUGGACCUCAUCAAAAUUAAAGCCUUUUGUGCAUCAAAGGACACUAUCAACAGAGUGAAAAGACAAUUUACAGAAUGGAGAAAAUAUUUGCAAAUCAUGUAUCUGAUAAGUAAUUAACAUCCAGAAUAUAUGAAGAACUCUUACAACUCAGCAACACCAACAAAAUCCAACUUAAAAAUAGACAAAAGACUUGAAUAGACACUUAAAAAAAACCAUAAAUGGCCAAUAAACACACGAAAAGAUGUUCAACAUCAUUUUGCUAAUCAUAAGAAAAGUGCAAAUCAAAACCACAAUGAGAUACCACUUUAUACCCACCAGAUCAGCCAUUAUAAAAACAAACAAAACAAUAGGAAACAACAGGUGUUGAUGAGGAUGUGGAGAAAAAGGAAUCUUUCUGUAUUCUGGCGGGAAUGUAAGUGGUACCUCUUCAGUAAGAAACAAAAGUAAAUCUAGAAAUACUAUAUAAUCCAGCAGUUCUACUUUUAAGUAUGCCACCUGAAGAAUCAAAAUCAGGAACUCAAACUGAUUUUGAAACACUCAUGUUUUUAGCAGUAUUAUUCAUGAUAACAAAACAUAUAAACAAUCCAACUAUUCAUCAAGCGGGUAAAAACUGUGAAAUAUACAUGCAAUGGAACACGAUUUCACCUUAAAAAGGAAGGAAAUCCUGACACCUAUUAUAACCUGGGUGAACCUAGAAGAUAUUACGCUAGGUAAAAUAAAUCAGUCAUGAAAGAAUGCAUACUGUAUACUUCCAGCUAUGUAAAGUACUUAGAGUAGUCACAUUGGUAGAGACAGAAAGUACAAGCAUGGUUGACAGACACUGGAAUAAUGGGAAGUUAUUGCUUAAUGGGUAUUAAGUUUCAGUCUGGGAAGAUAAAAAGUUCUGGGGAUCGAUUAUGGUGAUGGUUGAACAAUGAUUUGAGUGACUGUACUUACUGCCAUUGAACUGUACAUAUAAAAAUGGUUAAAUGGUAAAUUUUAUAUAUGUUUGAUCACAAUAAAACAAACAGAUAAAAACCUUAAAAGCAAGCAAACUGAUUUCAGACCAUUUUACUCUUCUGAACCAUCCAAUUGAGCAUUGAUCCUGAGUUGACACUAAGUAAACCUCAAACUUAGGAUCCUAAAGCAGAGGGUGGUGGGAGGAAGACAUGCUAAGACAUGCAGGUUGUAUCUGUUGUUGAUGGGUUUUAUUUUCAGUCUCCUCCCACCUUCUUCUAGUUCUAUCUUUCUAGAGUUAAAGUCUAGAGGAAGAGUUGAGAGAGAUGUUAGGGGUUAUUUAAUGGAGCAAUUCCAUUGAUUCUGGUGAAGAGAUACUUUCUGUCACUUUCUGGCUUGGUAUAGUCUGACUGCUGCUGUAGCCUCAGCUGGUAUGUGGUUUCUAUGCGUGGCAUGCUCUCCCAAGAUCUCUGCCUCUUACCUGGCUCUGUUUCCAUUGAAACCCUGUGGCAAGACUGCUGAUUCUGUAACUCAGCAAGUAUCCAGGCAGGGAGCGAGAUGCCAGCCUCCCUUUACUUUAAUUUACUACCUAUAAUUUACUUUAAAACACAUCAGUAUAGACAGUGGGAUAUAAUGGCCUGUGCAUUGAAUUCAUUCUCUUGGAAAAGUUUGUCCACAUUUAAUGUAAUCUAAUCAGAAAUGCAUAGUCCAAUGAAGCAUAGCUAGCAUUUGAAGAUUUCAAUCAGGGAUCUACAGAUUGCUAAGAUAUGCAUUUUCAAUCUUUAUUGGAGGACUGACUUACUAGGAUAAGGUAUAUGUGAAGAAUGAAGUGUGGAGUUUAGAAUAUGGGGUUGGCUAAAAAGUCUGUCCUUGUAUAAACGGGUGAACCAUAGUCAAUCUGUCCACUCUUGCAACCUAACACAUUUAGAGAAAUACAUUUGGUCCAUGGCAUUCUAUACUCUGUCUUGCCCACUUCACCCCACAGUCUGAAGGAUUCUGUUAUCUGAUUCAAUUAGAAAAUUAGUUGAUCAUGCUAUCAGAACAUUGCUGAAAACUUUCAUGUGGCCAGUUGUCAAAGCACCUAACAGCCAGAGUAGGAAUUCCCUGAGUUUACAGAAAAAGAUUGAAUGUUCCAUUUUUGUGUCUGUUUGCUAAAAAAUGUUUACGUGAGUCAUGAAAUUUGUUCCAAACCCUUAGUAGGUGCUCAAUAAUGCCUGCAGAAUAAAACUUGCAUAGGAACCUAAAAGACCUCCUAUUUCUCACUUGCAAAAGAAGAAAUGAGGCCUGACUAGAAACUGAGCAAUCAGGAAAAUUUAUUUAUAUGUGAGAAUCUAAUACACAGAGAUAACUGGAUAUGGAUAGCUAGACAGAUGAAUAAUAGAUAGAUAAAUGAACUAUUUCAUUGCUUCCAUGUCUGUUUAUAAGGGUUAAAGGGUUCAUCUACAAUUCUCUUUACAUGCUUAACCUCUCCUAAGAGUCAGGAAUAAUGCACCCUCUUGCAGCCCAUUCCAGGGGACACCAAGUGAAGUGUCUCCCUUGAGUCCAAUUACACCCUCUUCCAAAUAGGAGCCCUGUUACUUUCAUGAAAUUGUAAAAUCUCAGAGGAAUAGCAGCUGCUUCUGCAGCUGUAAUGCUGAAUAGAACCUUAAGUAAAUAGCUAGAAAGGCCAGUGAACAAUGAAUUAUAAUAAACCAACUAUAAUUAGUAAUAAAAGCCUUAAAAUAACUGUACUCAUGAGAUAGUAUUGGUCAUAUCCUUGCUGUGUUCUGGAAAUAAUAGAAUCAUUUUUUUCACCCAGUGUAACUACAAUGGUAAUUAAAAGCUGAUUUAGGAUCAAAGGCAACCUCAAGGUUAUAAAUGUAAGUAGCUCGCUCUGAAAGUGUAAGUAGCUUGUUCAUAUUCACGUAUUCACAUUUAAAAUAAAAAUUGGGAAGGGGCUUUCAUAGUCUGCUUUAGAAAAAAAUAUCAGCUGAUAAGUGAAGCAAAUCACUCAAUUGAUUCAAAAGCAUUGCCUAAACAUUUUGAGGAGAGAAGACACAAGUCGGCAGGAGGGGGAAGAAGUAUCUGUUUAUACAGUGCUUUCUCUCUAGAAAGGAAAAUUUUAAUUGCUAAUGCCCAUGAUGUAAGAUGUGAAAGAAAUUGAACUAAUAGUGAAUAAUAUAAGCAAAAGUAGUUGAUUGAUACUUCCAACAGUUUUUAGCAAAGGUAGGGACUUUCUGGUCCUAAACCAAUUUCACCUUUGCUGUGUGGUACAAAUAUCUAUUUAUCAUUGUAUUUUUCUCA
ensembl:lncRNA